AGAUGUGGGCGAUCCGGCAGCCACAUCUGUCACCCCAUUGAUCGCCAGGGUUGACUCAGCUGAUCUGGCUGACUAGGCCAGUGUCCCCUUCCUCCCUCUCCACUCCAUGUGCAUCCCUCCUGAAGCUGCGAAGGUGCGCCCUUGGUUGAAGAGGACGCUCUUCCCGAUAGAAGGAGGACUGUCUUUUGGUCGAGGGUUUAGGAGUAGCUGCGCUGUCCCACCAGAACCUCCAAACACGUUUUCAAGGAAGCAAUCAGACCGACUCAGAAUGCUUAACAACCAACACAAUGCA
rnacentral:snRNA from 1 species